rnacentral:rRNA from 1 species
AACGCGAAGAACCUUACCUACCCUUGACAUGUACCGAAGCCCGCUGAAAGGUGGGCGUGCCCGAAAGGGAGCGGUAACACAGGUGCUGCAUGGCUGUCGUCAGCUCGUGUCGUGAGAUGUUGGGUUAAGUCCCGCAACGAGCGCAACCCUUGUCAUUAAUUGCCAUCAUUCAGUUGGGCACUUUAAUGAAACUGCCGGUGACAAACCGGAGGAAGGUGGGGAUGACGUCAAGUCCUCAUGGCCCUUAUGGGUAGGGCUUCACACGUAAUACAAUGGCGCGUACAGAGGGUUGCCAACCCGCGAGGGGGAGCUAAUCUCAGAAAGCGCGUCGUAGUCCGGAUCGGAGUCUGCAACUCGACUCCGUGAAGUCGGAAUCGCUAGUAAUCGCGGAUCAGCAUGUCGCGGUGAAUACGUUCCCGGGCCUUGUACACACCG